GACAAGUCCCGCUCUGUCCUGCAGGCUGGAGUGUAGUGGUAUGAUCUCAGGUCACUGCAGCCUCUGCCUUCCAGGCUCAAGCCAUCCUCCUGCCUGAGCCUCCUGAGUAGCUGGGGCUACAGGCGUUCACCACCACUACAGCCGGCUAAUUUUUUUAUUUUUUAUUUUGGUAGAGACAGGGUUUCACCAUGUUGCCCAGGCUGGUCUUGAACUCCUGGGCUCAAGUGAUCCGCCUGUCUCAGCCUCACAAAGUGCUGGGAUUACAGCUGUGAGCCACCACACCUGGCCCUUUGUAUAAUUUUGACCUUUUAAAAUUUAUUGAGAAUUGUUUUGUGGCCUAACAUAUGAUUUAUCAUGGGGAAUGUUCCAUGUGCACUUGAGAGGAAUAUAUAUUCUGCUCUUGUUAGAUGGAUAUCUUUCCAUAUGUCUGUUAGGUCUAUUUGGUUUAGUGUGUUGUUCAAUUCCUCUAGUUCCUUACUGAUUUUGUCUAGAUGUUCUAUUUACUAUUGAAGGUGGGGUAUUGACUGGACACAGUAGGUCAGGCCUGUAAUCCCACACUUUGGGAGGCUGAGGCAGGUGGAUCACUUGAGGUCAGGAGUUUGAGACCAGCCUGACCAACAUGGUGAAACCCUGCCUUUACUAAAAAUACAAAA
rnacentral:lncRNA from 1 species